AGAGCCGAGUCAGCCAUAAAGCUACGCGCUAGGCUCUUGGCCCUGACGUGAGGCGCGCAGAGAUGGCGUAACGGGAAUAGUUUUCAACGUCUAUUUCAUUCCCUGCUUCAGAGGACCUCUUUAAUCUUUGAUUUUGGUCCCUGUUUCUAAGAAAAGCAACUGAAAAGGUCGUAAUACCGCCCCUGAGAAAAAAGGAGCAGCGCUAAAUAAUCGAGAAAAUGCCUCCUCUUGAAACGGAUAUAGAGAUGGAAACAAGAUAUAAGAAGGAUUGAGAAUCAUAUAAUACAGGAGCUUAAACACCUAUGCGCGAUGAUAAAGAGGGUACUAUUAGAGCGCUUGGAAAAUACCAGGAAGUUGAGAGAGUUAACAGAAGGGCGCACGCUGGAUUGGCCACAAAAUCGAAUUACUGAACUUCUCCAGUGAGCGGACACAAGGAUGAAUCAGAAAGAUUCAUUG
rnacentral:lncRNA from 10 species